GACGAACGCUGGCGGCGUGCCUAAUACAUGCAAGUAGAACAGUUGCGAACGGGUGAGAAUCGCGUAGGUAAAUGCCUCAUAGAGGGGGAGAAAUCAUGGAAACGCUAGCUAAUACCGCACACUGUGAGAUGGAACUGCGUGGGAUUAUCUAGUUGGUGAGGUAAAGGCCCACCAAGUCGACGAUACAUAGCCGGUCUGAGAGGAUGAACGGCCACAUUGGGACUGAGACACGGCCCAGACUCCUACGGGAGGCAGCAGUAGGGAAUCUGCGGCAAGGGACGGAAGUCUGACCGAGCAACGCCGCGUGAGUGAAGAAGGUUUUCGGGUCGUAAAGCUCUGUUGUUAGGGAAGCGGUAACUAACCAGAAAGCCACGGCUAACUACGUGCCAGCCGCCGCGGUAAUAC
rnacentral:rRNA from 1 species